rnacentral:rRNA from 1 species
AUUGAACGCGGGCGGCAGGCUUAACACAUGCAAGUCGAGCGAGCGGCGGACGGGCGAGUAAGGUAUGGGAACCUGCCUGAUGGAGGGGGAUAACUACUGGAAACGGUAGCUAAUACCGCAUACCAUCAGAUGUGUCCAGAUGGGAUUAGCUAGUAGGUGGGGUAAUGGCUCACCUAGGCGACGAUCCCUAGCUGGGCUGAGAGGAUGACCAGCCCCACUGGAACUGGGACACGGUCCAGACGCCUACGGGAGGCAGCAGUGGGGAAUAUUGCACAAUUGGCGCAAGCCUGAUGCAGCCAUGCCGCGUGUGUGAAGAAGGCCUUCGGGUUGUAAGGCACUUUCAGCGUGGAGGCGUUACUCGCAGAAGAAGCACCGGCUAGCUCCGUGCGAGCCGCCGCGGUAAUUC